CUGAAACACAAAGAGCUUGAAUAGUGAAGGCAAUGAUUCUUUACCUCAACGGAGAUCCUGAAAACCUCAUAAGGGAGUAUCUUGAUGUUGGAGAAAACCAGGAGAUGGAGCAGACAAUUCUAGGAAUCUUUGCCGUAAAGAAGGACGGUGCAGAACCCACAGAUGAGCUGGAAGAUGUUGGAAUAAUCAUCGAAGGUGUGAAAGUGCUUUGUGACCUUGGUAACGUUGCAAAUGCAGUCGCUGUUUGGCCUCAUGUACGCAUUGGACUUGAGCUACCCACCCAACCCUAAGUACACAUUUGAGGUUCUACAAAAACUUGUGCUGGAACUGGACGGCAGACAUCCCUCAAGAAAGGCUCAAGUGCUAAAAAACAAACUGUUUGAAGGAACAACGUAGACGUGAAACUGCAAUUGAAUGUGGAGCCCUUUAUUUGAACGCUCUGAGGUGGAAGGAGGCUUUGAGCUUGGGAAAUCAACCAAUCAAUCUUUUUGGAUCCAUAUGUUGAACUGUCAUGGUUAUGCGUUGUAAGAUGCAUAAUGUCAAUGUUUUAACAAUGUGCACAAAAGAGAGACGGGACGAGCUUAACAGUAAAAAUACGGGUGUUGCAUUUUUAUGUCCAUAAAAAAUGGAUUUAAAAAAAUAAUGGCAUAAAUGAGUCCAAAAACAUCUCAUUUUGCCCAAAGUAGCAAGAAUAUGAGGGUAACCACUGAGGGUAAGCCACUGCCACCUAAUUAAGAUGCGUAUUUUACAUUAGUGUUUGAUCUCUUUACCAUGAUAUGUUGGUUUAAACAUGUACUGUAAUAAUGUUCUGGUUAAGUUUGGUGCAUUUUGAUUGAUUGAUUUAUUUAUUUUAACACUACUGAAGCGGCAAGGGAAAGAAAACAUUUUUAUUUAGUUAUUUUAUUUUGAAAUAUUUGUGACUACAUUGGUUCGCCCUUUAUUUGAGUAUUGUUUUCUGCUUAUGCUAAUUUGAUCUUAACAUUGAAAAGAGAUUUUAGAUUUUCAGUCAAAAUUUCCAGUGACGAUGUAUUUUACAAACUUAAACUUGGUGGGGAUCUGAUUUGACAGUUUUCUGACAUGUAAACUUUUUUUUCGAAAGUUAUUUAAAUGUUUAUUUUCAACAGUUUUCGUUCUGCCCUCUGUUGGAAAGCUUACCUUUUUGGUCUGGGCAAGUCCCAUUCUGAUGCUACAGCUGACCAGGUUUGAAGUAAAUUGAUAAUUAUUUCACUCGAAUAAAGUGACUUCAAAGUGA